GCGUAAAGGGUGCGCAGGCGGCCGGGUGUGUCAGAUGUGAAAUCCCGAGGCUUAACCUCGGAACUGCGUCUGAAACUACUCGGCUAGAGUAUUGGAGAGGGUAACGGAAUUCACGGUGUAGCAGUGAAAUGCGUAGAUAUCGUGAGGAACACCAGAGGCGAAGGCGGUUACCUGGACAAUUACUGACGCUCAGGCACGAAAGCAUGGGGAGCAAAAGGGAUUAGAUACCCCUGUAGUCCAUGCCCUAAACGGUGCACACUAGGUCUUGGCGGAUUCGACCCCACCAGGGCCCAAGCUAACGCGUUAAGUGUGCCGUCUGAGGACUACGGUCGCAAGACUAAAACUCAAAGAAAUUGACGGGGACCCGCACAAGCGGUGGAACAUGUGGUUUAAUUCGAGGCAACGCGAAGAACCUUACCAGGUCUUGACAUGCCCUCUAUGGGAUAGAGAAAUUUAUCCCUUCAGUUCGGCUGGGAGGUGCACAGGUGCUGCAUGGCUGUCGUCAGCUCGUGUCGUGAGAUGUUGGGUUAAGUCCCGCAACGAGCGCAACCCUCAUCCUCUGUUGCUAACAGGUAAUGCUGAGAACUCUGAGGAAACUGCCGGUGAUAAGCCGGAGGAAGGUGGGGAUGACGUCAAGUCCUCAUGGCCCUUACGGCCUGGGCUACACACGUGUUACAAUGGCGGUGACAAUGAGUCGCUAACCUGCAAGGGUAUGCUAAUCUCAAAAAGCCGCCUCAGUUUGGAUUGUACUCUGCAACUCGAGUACAUGAAAUUGGAAUCGCUAGUAAUCG
rnacentral:rRNA from 1 species